AACGAACGCUGGCGGCAGGCUUAACACAUGCAAGUCGAACGCCCCGCAAGGGGAGUGGCAGACGGGUGAGUAACGCGUGGGAACAUACCCUUUUCUACGGAAUAGCUCUGGGAAACUGGAAUUAAUACCGUAUACGCCCUACGGGGGAAAGAUUUAUCGGGGAAGGAUUGGCCCGCGUUGGAUUAGCUAGUUGGUGGGGUAAAGGCCUACCAAGGCGACGAUCCAUAGCUGGUCUGAGAGGAUGAUCAGCCACAUUGGGACUGAGACACGGCCCAAACUCCUACGGGAGGCAGCAGUGGGGAAUAUUGGACAACGGGCGCAAGCCUGAUCCAGCCAUGCCGCGUGAGUGAUGAAGGCCUUAGGGUUGUAAAGCUCUUUCACCGAUGAAGAUAAUGACGGUAGUCGGAGAAGAAGCCCCGGCUAACUUCGUGCCAGCAGCCGCCGUAAGAC
rnacentral:rRNA from 1 species